rnacentral:piRNA from 1 species
UACCCUAGAUAUUAUGUCUCCAGGCCUCGGA